CUUUGUGUUUUUUCAUCGAUAAAAAGGUACCAGAUCCCAUCUGAUCUUGGAAACUAAGCAAGGUCAGCCCUGGUUAGUACUUGUCUGGGAGACCACCAAAGAAUAUGAGGUGCUGUAGGCU
rnacentral:rRNA from 1 species